GCAGCUGUGAUGUGGAGGAAGAAGCGCUCAGGGGGACACGCAAUCAACUAGUCAGGCUGCAGUCCAAGGUCAAGAAGGAAGUGCAAGUUCUUCACGUGUCUCUCUGCUCCGUGUGCCUCCUCCAGGGCUCCUUCUGGCUCCAUCCUGCUUCCUUCCUUCUCCAGUCUCUUCUCCAGCUGCUUCUUCUCCCUGCUCAGCUCAACCCUGCUUAGGAGUCUCCCCAUCUUCCUAGUAAGUGCCCUGGGGGCUCUCCUAGGCCCCGCCCUUCAUCCAAGGAUGGAGAAUGUAAGGGCCUCCUUGGUGGCGCAAGGGGUUAAGAUGCAGCCUAUGAAGCUAUCUGCAGCCACUACAGCACAAGUUCGAUCCCCAGCCAGGAAGCUACCAACAUGGCGCAGCAGACCUCUCCUGACCUCCCAGCUGCUCCCCUCAGCAGUGUGUUUCAGUCAGUUUGCCUGUUCUGCUCCCCACUCUGUCUCUGGUGAAUCCUGUCACCCCAACACCUCUGGUCUGUACCCCAGUUCUUGU